AAGCGGAGGAAAAGAAACCAACAGGGAUUGCCUUAGUAGCGGCGAGUGAAGCGGCAAAAGCUCAAAUUUGAAAUCUGGCUCUUUCAGAGUCCGAGUUGUAAUUUGAAGAAGGUAUCUUUGGGUCUGGCUCUUGUCUAUGUUUCUUGGAACAGAACGUCACAGAGGGUGAGAAUCCCGUGCGAUGAGAUGAUCCAGGCCUAUGUAAAGUUCCUUCGAAGAGUCGAGUUGUUUGGGAAUGCAGCUCUAAGUGGGUGGUAAAUUCCAUCUAAAGCUAAAUAUUGGCGAGAGACCGAUAGCGAACAAGUACAGUGAUGGAAAGAUGAAAAGAACUUUGAAAAGAGAGUGAAAAAGUACGUGAAAUUGUUGAAAGGGAAGGGCUUGAGAUCAGACUUGGUAUUUUGUAUGUUACUUCUUCGGGGGUGGCCUCUACAGUUUAUCGGGCCAGCAUCAGUUUGGGCGGUAGGAGAAUUGCGUUGGAAUGUGGCACGGCUUCGGUUGUGUGUUAUAGCCUUCGUCGAUACUGCCAGCCUAGACUGAGGACUGCGGUUUAUACCUAGGAUGUUGGCAUAAUGAUCUUAAGUCGCCCGUCUUGAA
rnacentral:rRNA from 1 species